rnacentral:rRNA from 1 species
AACGAACGCUGGCGGCAUGCCUAACACAUGCAAGUCGAACGAGACCUUCGGGUCUUGUGGCGCACGGGUGCGUAACGCGUGGGAACCUGCCCUUAGGUUCGGAAUAACUCCCCGAAAGGGGUGCUAAUACCGGAUAAUGUCUUCGGACCAAAGAUUUAUCGCCUUUGGAUGGGCCCGCGUUGGAUUAGCUAGUUGGUAGGGUAAAAGCAUACCAAGGCGACGAUCCAUAGCUGGUCUGAGAGGAUGAUCAGCCACACUGGGACUGAGACACGGCCCAGACUCCUACGGGAGGCAGCAGUGGGGAAUAGUGGACAAUGGGCGAAAGCCUGAUCCAGCAAUGCCGCGUGAGUGAUGAAGGCCUUAGGGUUGUAAAGCUCUUUUAACCGGGAUGAUAAUGACAGUACCGGGAGAAUAAGCCCCGGCUAACUCCGUG